rnacentral:lncRNA from 1 species
AUGAAUGACAUGGUAACUAUCUGAACUAGAAAGUUCAUGACCAACCAACGACUUCAGAGGAAACAAAUGGUCAUUGACGUCCUUCACCCCGGGAAGGCAACAGUACCGUACCUAAGACAGAAAUUCGGGAAAAACUAGCAAAAAUGUACAAGACCACACUGGAUGUCAUCUUUGUACUUGGAUUCAGAACUCAUUUUGGUGGUGGCAAGACAACUGGCUUUGGCAUGAUUUAUGAUUUCUUGGAUUAUGCAAAGAAAUAUGAAUCCAAACAUAGACUUGUAAGACAUGGUCUGUAUGAGAAGAAAAAGAACUCAAGAAAGCAACAAGAGGGACACAAGAACAGAAUGAGGAAAGUCAGGGGGACUGCAAAGGCCAAAGUUGGUGUCGCUAAAAAGAAAUGA